rnacentral:rRNA from 1 species
UGGGGAAUAUUGCACAAUGGGCGCAAGCCUGAUGCAGCAACGCCGCGUGAGGGACGACGGCCUUCGGGUUGUAAACCUCUUUUAGUAGGGAAGAAGCGAAAGUGACGGUACCUGCAGAAAAAGCACCGGCUAACUACGUGCCAGCAGCCGCGGUAAUACGUAGGGUGCGAGCGUUGUCCGGAAUUAUUGGGCGUAAAGAGCUCGUAGGCGGUCUGUCGCGUCUGCUGUGAAAACCCGAGGCUCAACCUCGGGCCUGCAGUGGGUACGGGCAGACUAGAGUGCGGUAGGGGAGAAUGGAAUUCCUGGUGUAGCGGUGGAACGCGCAGAUAUCAGGAGGAACACCGAUGGCGAAGGCAGUUCUCUGGGCCGUAACUGACGCUGAGGAGCGAAAGCGUGGGGAGCGAACAGGAUUAGAUACCCUGGUAGUCCACGCCGUAAAACGUUGGGCGCUAGAUGUGGGGACCAUUCCACGGUUUCCGUGUCGCAGCUAACGCAUUAAGCGCCCCGCCUGGGGAGUACGGCCGCAAGGCUAAAACUCAAAUGAAUUGACGGGGUCAUAGCUGUUUCCUG